GCCCGAGUAGCUCAGUCGGUAGAGCAUGAGACUUUUAAUCUCAGAGCUGUGGGUUGGAGCCCCACGCUGGGUG